rnacentral:rRNA from 1 species
GGUAAUUGCGGUCCAUCGGGGGUGGGAAAGCGGAGGAUGGUUGCGUUAUGCGGAGUUAGUGUGUGUAAAGGGUGCGUAGGCGGCCUUAUAAGGCAGUGGUGAAAUCCUAUCGCUUAACGAUAGACGUGCCAUUGAUACUGUAGGGCUGGAGUACAGAUGCCGUUGGCGGAAUGUGUCAUGUAGCGGUGAAAUGCAUAGAUAUGACACAGAACACCGAUUGCGAAGGCAGCUGACGAAACUGUAACUGACGCUGAUGCACGAAAGCGUGGGGAUCAAACAGGAUUAGAUACCCGAGUAGUC